UACGGAGGGUGCGAGCGUUGUCCGGAAUCACUGGGCGUAAAGGGCGCGUAGGCGGCCUGAUAAGUAGGGGGUGAAAUCCUGUGGCUUAACCGCAGGGCUGCCUUCUAAACUGUCAGGCUCGAGCACAGUAGAGGCAGGUGGAAUUCCCGGUGUAGCGGUGGAAUGCGUAGAGAUCGGGAAGAACAUCAGUGGCGAAGGCGGCCUGCUGGGCUGUUGCUGACGCUGAGGCGCGACAGCGUGGGGAGCAAACAG
rnacentral:rRNA from 1 species